CUGAAUUCAAUCCAUGCUUUAAACGCAUUCAUAUUCUGUUGAUAAAUAAGAUGCACACACUGUAAGAUUUCUGACAAAUACAAAAAUGCCUAAAUUAUGGAUUUUAAUUUUGAUCUUCAGCACCAUGUAUCCAGUCCAACAUGGUAGACGCUGGGUUACUGCACAAUCCCUCACAGAGUCACCAGUUCAGCCUAAUAAAGAGCUCAGUGUGGAUAUCGGAGACUCGGCUACACUGCGGUGUUGUAUUUCUAAAAAUGCAAUUGGGAUAAUUGCCUGGUUUAAACAACCAAACAGAAAAAAACCUCAGAUUAUAGACACUAUGUAUAAAAGCAGCAAGGAUGCAUUUUACAGUGAAUCCCAAAAGUUCUAUUUUCAAGUGGAAAGAUCUUCAAACUGCUUCAAUAUGACCAUUUUAAACAUCAGUCAGUCUGACGAAGCCAUGUACUACUGUGCCCUGACAACACCCAACCUUGUGUUUGCAGAUGGGACUUAUUUAAAAAUUAAAGAUGUACAUGCGACUACUGCAUCAGAAACAUCUGUACCACAUCUGUGUGAUAAUUCAGUGGUGUUUGAACCAACACUGCAUGGAAACAGCACUAACAUGAAAACAGAAAAAAUAUAGAAAACUCCAGAGUGAAUGCUUAUGUAAAACAUCCAGGGACGAGGCAGG